rnacentral:rRNA from 1 species
GAUGAACGCUGGCGGCGUGCCUAAUACAUGCAAGUCGAGCGAACAGACCAGGAGCUUGCUCCUCUGACGUUAGCGGCGGAUGGGUGAGUAAUACGUGGAUAACCUACCUAUAUGACUGGGAUAAAUUCGGGAAACCGGAGCUAAUACCGGAUAAUAUAUUGAACCGCAUGGUUCAAUAGUGAAAGACGGUUUUGCUGUCACUUAUAGAAGGAUCCGCGACGCAGUAGCUAGUUGGUAAGGUAACGGCUUACCAAGGCAACGAUGCGUAGCCGACCUGAGCGGGUGAUCGGCCACACGGGAACUGAGCGACGGUCCAGACUCCGACGGGAGGCAGCGGUAGGGAAUCUUCCGCAAUGGGCGGAAGCCUGACGGAGCAACGCCGCGUGAGUGAUGAAGGUCUUCGGAUCGUAAAACUCUGUUAUUGGGGAAGAACAAAUUUGUAAGUAACUAUGCACGGCUUGACGGUACCGAGUCAGAAAGCCACGGCUAACUACGUG